rnacentral:lncRNA from 1 species
UGGAAUUUUUUUUCAUAAUAGGAUAAAAUAUAUGUAUUUCACUGAGAUUUUUUGUUGUAAUAGGUUUAGUAACUAGGGUUAGUGUGAUGUUGUUGUAUGCAUUUGGAAAGUGGCAUAAUUUAAUCAUUGAUCUAGUCUGUCUAGAUGAUUCAAUCAAUCUAUUUAGAGCCUUAAUUUAGAAUUCUACCUAGAGGGUAUUUUUAAACAUCCUGUGUAAUCCGGUUAUUUGAGCAACUAGGAUUAUCGGAUCAAAUGGUGUAUAGCUUGAGA